AGAGUGGUGUCCUGGUGCUGUUCCACUGGGAUGCCCUAGCUACGCCCGUGGAUGAAAAGCUACAGGUGGUAGCAAGUGAAAAGGCCCCAAAUGGGGUGUUUUAGAGAGUCCUUAUAAGGACCAGCUGGAAUGGAAACAGGUCAAGGUGAGGAGGAGUCCAGAGUUGCUGUUCUCUCAGGUGCCCCAACUGUCUCUCAAAGUCCAAAAGGCCUCCCAAAAAAGUUGAAAAAACAUAUCUUCAUGUAUGCGACAACGGCCGCGAGAGUUCUGGUAGCACAAGGAUGGAA